rnacentral:rRNA from 1 species
UAGGGAAUCUUCCGCAAUGGACGCAAGUCUGACGGAGCAACGCCGCGUGAGUGAAGAAGGAUUUCGGUUCGUAAAACUCUGUUGUUAGAGAAGAACAGCGCAUAGAGUAACUGUUAUGCGUGUGACGGUAUCUAACCAGAAAGCCACGGCUAACUACGUGCCAGCAGCCGCGGUAAUACGUAGGUGGCAAGCGUUGUCCGGAUUUAUUGGGCGAAAAGCGAGCGCAGGCGGUCAAUUAAGUCUGAUGUGAAAGCCCCCGGCUCAACCGGGGAGGGUCAUUGGAAACUGGUUGACUUGAGUGCAGAAGAGGAGAGUGGAAUUCCAUGUGUAGCGGUGAAAUGCGUAGAUAUAUGGAGGAACACCAGUGGCGAAGGCGACUCUCUGGUCUGUAACUGACGCUGAGGCUCGAAAGCGUGGGUAGCAAACAGG